rnacentral:rRNA from 1 species
AACGCUAGCUACAGGCUUAACACAUGCAAGUCGAGGGGAAACGAUAUUGGAAGCUUGCUUCCGAUAGGCGUCGACCGGCGCACGGGUGAGUAACGCGUAUCCAACCUGCCCAUCACUUGGGGAUAACCUUGCGAAAGUAAGACUAAUACCCAAUGACGUCUCUAGAAGACAUCUGAAGGAGAUUAAAGAUUUAUCGGUGAUGGAUGGGGAUGCGUCUGAUUAGCUUGUUGGCGGGGUAACGGCCCACCAAGGCGACGAUCAGUAGGGGUUCUGAGAGGAAGGUCCCCCACAUUGGAACUGAGACACGGUCCAAACUCCUACGGGAGGCAGCAGUGAGGAAUAUUGGUCAAUGGGCGAGAGCCUGAACCAGCCAAGUAGCGUGUAGGAUGACGGCCCUAUGGGUUGUAAACUGCUUUUAUAAGGGAAUAAAGUGAGUCUCGUGAGACUUUUUGCAUGUACCUUAUGAAUAAGGACCGGCUAAUUCCGUGCCAGCAGCCGCGGUAAUACGGAAGGUCCGGGCGUUAUCCGGAUUUAUUGGGUUUAAAGGGAGCGUAGGCCGGAGAUUAAGCGUGUUGUGAAAUGUAGACGCUCAACGUCUGCACUGCAGCGCGAACUGGUUUCCUUGAGUACGCACAAAGUGGGCGGAAUUCGUGGUGUAGCGGUGAAAUGCUUAGAUAUCACGAAGAACUCCGAUUG